rnacentral:lncRNA from 1 species
CCCAUUAUUAACAUUCUCACCUGGUUCCAUAUCCAAAUCAAUCUCACCUCCUCUAACUCCCCUUCUUCCUUCUCAACAACAUCAACAAUCUUUUUUGAAUAGAUUGCAUUUCCCUUGCAGCUUGGCAAUGGACUCCGCUGCAUCUCGGUCACCUAGACUAUAUGACUUUCCUUUUGCAAUACUUCUAGAGCUCCAAGUUGCUCCUGAGAUGUUCGAGUUUACGGAUUUCAUGCAUUAGAGUAACAGGUGCAGUUGAUGAUGUAUUGCCUUAACAUAGUUUUCCUUGCUCUGCCGCAGCGGUUUAUCUCCUUGUUCUCAAGUUUUCAUAAUAAUGUAGGAGAGAGAGACAGUUCUUUACUGAUGGACGUGGUGUUGAUUCCAAUGUGCUUGAAGCCGUUGGUCCUCUUGAAGUUUUUUCUGCAACUCAUCCACUUGAGAUUGUGCAAAAUCUCUCUGGCGCCUCAGUUCUUUAAUUUCUCUCUCCAUCUACACCCAACAAAAUGAUGAGGUACACAUUCAUUAGAUGACUGUAAAAUUCAACUAAGCUGCUGAAAACUUAACAAAACAGCACGAGAAAGAAAAGGGAAAGAAAAAGAAAAAAAGGAAAACUAAAAAGCAAGUAUUUACAAUUUCGAUAAGCAGUACCAGGUCCAGAUUAAGCGAUCGUCUCUGUAAUACCCCGAAUUUUUAUAUAUUUAAUAAAUGAGUUAUUUUCCAUACCCAAUUAGUUUGAAAUUUUAAGAAAUUAUUCAAGUAAAUUAUUUGAGAAAUGAUUAUAUUUUGGUUAUUCAAAAUUUUCCCAAAUGCAUAUUUAUAUAAGUAAAAUUAUAUUUUGGAAUAAGGAUUGAAAGUAUAAUGUUAUUUUUAUGGGGUUUUAAUGGAAAUUUGUGAGCUUGGUAUUUUUGUAAAUAAAUAUGUCGGUCAGGGGUAUUUUUGCAAUUGUGUAUUUUCAAUAAUUCGGAUUUGGCCCAAAUUAAAUAGUUAAGGGCUUAAUUGAAAGGCUAGAAAGAAGUUUGGGGGUUAAAUUGAAGUUCUGCAGGAUGAAAUUGUAAGUAAUUAAAGAAGUUGAGGGACCAAAUUGUAAUAAGAAAAAGUUCGGGGGCCUAAUGUUGAUAUUGAAAGGAAAAGAAUCGGGGAAGAAGAGAGGAAGAGAGAGAGAGAGAAAGAGAGAGAGAGAGUGUUGUGGCGGCAGUGUCCUUCCGCGGACAGCCGGCGGGGCGCGGCGUGCGGCGGCGGCAGCGGCACCAGUAGCGUCCGCAGGCAGCGGAAUUGCGUGACGUGUGACAGCGGCUUCCGAGCGUCGUUCCUGCCUUUUCCGGCGGCCUUUCGGCCGAUCUCGGUGGCGAUCAGCUCCCCUCGAAGAGAGCUUCCUUUUGGCGGCAGCGGCGUCGGUUUUGGUGGCAGGAGGAGAGAGUUAUCCCGACUCUCCUCAGCUCAAGCUUCGAAAUGGCACCGGUUUGGUGGCGAUCGGGCUCCGUUUGCAAAUCGACGACCGUGAUCGUCCGCAAAUUUCUCCGGAUGAUCGGGUGUCAGAUCCAAAAAUCGAAAGCGGGGAUCGUCAUCAGCGCGUCGUUGUGAGUCCGAUGGUGUGUUCGAAUCGUCGAUCGGACUCCGGCGGCUGGAGGCGAGUCGACCGAGCGAUCAAGCGUCUCGGUAAUUUUCUCUGGUCGUUGAUCUUGGUCUUUGAUUUAAUUUGUGUCUAUUGGGUUAUAUCGAGUAUUUGAUGAUAUUGUGAGUCAAAAAUAAUUGUCUGUCAGUUUGCCUGCCUCGUAUUUUGUGCUGUGUGGCGGAGUCGGGAAAUAGUAAAGUUUGGGGACCCAACUCCCGUUGUUUAAAUUGUUGGAUAUUUGGAGUGUUCUUCUGGCAGGUCCUGGACCCGUUUUUACAGGGGGUAAUGUUCGUGUUGUAGGGGAGGUUCUGCCGGAUUUUCGGUAGAAUUCUCCUGAGUCGAGAUUCUUAGACAGUCAGUCCUAGGAGUCUAGACCUAGGAUUAAUGAUCGAUUGCUUCAGCGUUUUGAUAAAUUAUUUUCCGUGAUUAGAUGAUCUGUCUGUUCGGCUCGCUCCAACUGAGGCACCGGAGCAGAGCUAGGAGGUCGCCCAAUUCUGUGAGUUAAAGUCAUUUAAUCAUUGCGCUAUUGCUAAGUUUGAUUUUAAUAUGCUAUUUUGAAAGUUCAUGCUUAAUAUGGUUAUUAGUAUCGCAACGUAAAUAAUUUCACUGAAUUAUUCAUUAUUAAAGGUAAUAUAAGUAUUAUUAUAGUAAUGUUAUGAUAAUACCAAAUAUAAUCAGUUUUCCAUAUGAGUUGCCUGAUAUCUUACUCUUAAUUGUUAAUUGUUAUUUUGAUAUGGUUGAAUGAUUUCAUUAUACAAUGAUAUUUAUUAUAUGUGAUGAUUUCGAUUUGGGGAUGUGGCUUUCGUAGAACAUGCCGUCUGAUGGGUUACAUCAGGACCGCGUGCGCACCGGUAAUGAUCAUGGACAUGUAAUCAGAUUUUUAUGAGUUUGCCCUGGUCGAGCAUGGCUCUCUGGGCUGAUUUGUGUAAAUUGCCGGAGGUAAGGUCCCUGGUCGAGCAUUGCUCUCGGGGCGCCAGUCUUAUUGGAUUAAGAGAGCCGAAUGGCUACUAGAUUUUUUAUUUGGAUACUUAAGUGACCAGACUGGAGGUAAGGUCCCUGGUCGAGCAUUGCUCUCGGGGCGCCAGUCUUAUUGGAUUAAGAGAGCCAAAAUGGCUGUUAGAAUUUGGGGUUAGGGUUCUACUGAGCCACUCGUCCCGUAAAAGUAAAUAUAUAUUUUUAUUUAUUUAUUUAUUAUGGUAUUUGAUUAUAAUGUGAUUUGUAUUUACGUGCAUGGUUUGAUAUACUGAUUUGAAUAAUCUAUAUUUUCUGAGAAGAAUGCAAUAGUCCCCAGAUUAUUUGAUUUUAACUCACUCUCGAGACUGACAGUCUCAUUUUUACUGUUUUUCAGAUUCGUGACUGUUAGUCCUCUCGCGACUCUUAUUCAGUAACCCGACUCCUUCAUCAUCGGGUGAUGUAUUUGAUUUGGUAUGUAAAUUGGUAAAUCUUAGAUUCUCCGCAGUAGUAAUAGUAGAUGUAUCAGUUGUAAAUUUUCUGAGUUUCAGGUCUCGCCUAGUUUUUUUUUCUGGCAGACCGAAGUAUUUAUGUAGAAUGUAGCUGUUAAGAUAAAUUGUGACUUUAAUAAUAUUAAUUUGAGAUGAGAUUUAUUUAAAUCAGUGAGUGUCAGGCUUACUACGGGUUUCGGUGGCCUUAAGCCUACCCAUUCCCUAGUGCCGGUCACGGGCCCACGGGUGGGGUCGUGACAGUCUCAAAUAAAGAAUCAACCAACCAUAAUUCAAUCGCAAGAAAAUCUAAGAGGAGAAAGGAAGAAACAGAAGAUAAAUCACUUGGUAAGUUUAAUCUUUUCCAGUAUACAUAAGGAAAGAUCAUGAGCUUCGAUAUUAAGGAAAUAAAUUCAAUAAACAACAACAUCAACAAUCUUUUUUGAAUAGGUUGCAUUUCCCUUGCAGCUUGGCAAUGGACUCCGCUGCAUCUCGAUCACCUAGACUAUGACUUUCCUUUUGCAAUACUUCUAGAGCUCCAAGUUGCUCCUGAGAUGUUCGAGUUUACGGAUUUCAUGCAUCAGAGUAAAAGGUGCAGUUGAUGAUAAUAGCCUUAACAUAGUUUUCCUUGCUCUGUCGCAGCGGUUUAUCUCCUUGUUCUCAAGUUUUCAUAAUAAUGCAUCAGCGUAGGAGAGAGAGACAGUUCUUUACCGAUGGACGUGGUAUUGAUUCCAAUGUGCUUGAAGCCGUUGGUCCUCUUGAAGUUUUUUCUGCAACUCAUCCACUUGAGAUUGUGCAAAAUCUCUCUGGCGCCUCAGUUCUUUAAUUUCUCUCUUCAUCUACACCCAACAAAAUGAUGAGGUACACAUUCAUUAGAUGACUGUAAAAUUCAACUAAGCUGCUGAAAACUUAACAAAACAGCACGAGAAAGAAUAGGGAAAGAAAAAGAGAAAAAGGAAAACUAAAAAUCAAGUAUCUACAAUUUCGAUAAGCAGUACCAGGUCCAGAUUAAGCAAUCGUCUCAAAUAAAGAAAUCAACCAACCAUAAUUCAAUCGCAAGGAAAUCUAAGAAGGGAAAGGAAGAAACAGAAGAUAAAUCACUUGGUAAGUUUAAUCUUUUCCAGUAUACAUAAGGAAAGAUCAUGAGCUUCGAUAUUAAGGAAAUAAAUUCAAUAAACAACAACAAUACUCACAGAAAUCUCAGGAUAAGAACAAUGCAGUAUCCGAGAGAGAGAGAGGAGUGUUGAGAGAGAAUGGCUUCUACUGAUUUUUCAGGUAUGAGGACGAAGAAGAAGAGAUUUGUUUCUCUUCCUCUUUAAUGAAAAAACAAACGGGUAACUUAGUCUUGUGCAUUUGAAUUUGUGAGCCGUAACGGCUAGUUUCUUUUGGUUUGUGUUUUUAUUUGAAUUACUUUUAUUACGGAUUCGCAUAUUCAGAUCGAUGAUCCAGUCGACGGUCAUAGUGGAAUGGGUUCCUUUGUCAAAGUUUUGAAAAAAACGGCAUUUUUUUUUGUUUAUGGUAAGUUAAUUAAUUUCUGCAAACAUAAUAAAGGAGGAAGGUUAAAAAAGGAAUUUUGCACAUAUGCCCUUUACGUACGACGUAACGUUUCUUCAACGGUUGCUCAUAUUUGGUAAUUCUUGUGCUAAACUGCUCAUCAACUGUGGCUUUGCUGAACUCUGAAGCUAUUUUAUUUAUUGUAUCUUUUUUCGUUUAUACGGUAAAUAUCCGAAUUGAAAAAAAAAAUCAAUCAAUUGUUAUUUUUUAUUUGCAAACUAAUUCUAUAUUUCUUUUAGAAGCAAUGGGAACAGCUAGGAUAAGAAUACCAAACUCGAGCUCGAUUAAAAUUAUCUGAAUUUUUUUAAAAAUUAUUUAAAAAAUUAUAUUUGUUAUAUAAAUUCAUUCUAUAUCCAAACAAGAAUCAACAUAUAUAUUAUUCGAAUUUAAUAAUAGUAUAUAACAAUUAAAUAAAUUAUAUAGAUAUUUAAAUAGGUAGCAGUUACCUUACCCGUUAAAUAUCCAUUUAUAUAAAUAUUCGAAUAAUUAAAUGGGUACUUGAUAACUCGGUCAAGGAUUGAGCUAUCAAUAGUAUCUUCAAAGGUUGAUUCGAUCUCGAGAGUACCUGUAAAGAUGGUUAGAAAGCGACGGACGAGAUUGUCCAGCCACUUACUCCGAUAAUUAAGUCAGUAAUUUACGAAAGGGUGACUUAAGUAUAUUGAGGUGUAAAGUAGCAUGUAUCUAAAAAUAUGGUGUAGUGUAAAACUCUGCAAAUAUAGGUCGGGUUAGAUAUAAUAAGACUUAUUCUCUUUGUUGUCUCAAGAGUUUUAGGUCGGGUCAGACUCUCUAACUAAGGUGCGUCCAUGAGACGAUCUCUUAGACUUUCUAUUGUUGUGGAUACAAACUUAGUCAACUUUGUCUUUCUCGGGCAUGACAGGUUGGCCUAUAAUGCUCUAAUAUACUCAUUUAUAAUAAUUAAAUUUUAAAAUAUACUAACAGAAAAACUAAAUCUAAACUACAUAAUUUUAAAUAGGAUAGAGUACCGGAUUCAAGUAAUCUAUACUUAUAUUCAUUUAAAUAAUUGUGUUAGGAAGCGGGUAUAGGAGGGUUCACAUCUGAAAUCGACACGAGUAUAUUAGAAUUCAAUUUCAAACUCGUCCCAAAUUAUUUUACAAUUACCUAAACUCGUUCUAUUAGAGUUCGGUCGAAUCGGAUAUACGAAAAUAUCCACCCAACUAAUAUUGAUAAAUAAGAUUUGAUAUUUAAUACCAUUCUUAAACAUGGUACAAGUUUCAUUAUUUAUUUAUUGGAACUUAGGUUUUAUUUUUUUUGCAAUUACCUUUACAAUGCAUCCAAAAGAAAAUGCAAGAUACCAAUUGUUACAUAUAAUUAUUGGCAUGUGAUUCUAUUUAAGUUCUUACAUCAAUAAUGAAAAUCCAACAACCUAGCAUAUAUCAACUUAAUUAAAGUUUUCAGUGCGAGUGUUCUUUCUCUAUUUGUAACUCAAAAAAAGCAUUUUUAGCAUAAUCUAGGUCUAUUUUCCAAAAUUUAGUAAAAUGAUUUAUAUUAUCCUUAAUACUCUAAUUUAUGUUAUAUUUUUAAAAUAUAUCUUCUACUAAUUAAUACAAUUGCAUUGCUUAAUCUUAUUAAUUUUAUAUUAAUUAUUAGAAGAAUAUCUAAAUCUUAAUACAUUUGUAUAUAAAUACAAGUUAAUUACUCUUACUCAGAUUUUGACAAAUUUACAAUUUUAAUCUUGUUCUCUAAAAGUAAACUAAUUGUUAGAUAGAGUCUCUUAUCCCUUAGAGUUCUCUCAUCUCUUAUAUCUCUUAUCUCUUAUCCUUUUUAAUAUUUAUCAUCUUCAUAUAUAGAUAAGUCUUAUAUCUCUUAGCUUGUAGCUAUAUAGCUAUUGACUCUGUAAUCCUAUAAAUAUUCUGAUGUGUAACUUAAUUCAUAUCACUCCAAUAGAACUAUUUUCAAGUCUAAACAUGGUAUUAAAUCCUUACAACUAAAGAUUAUUGAUGCUUCUUCCACUCCACAAUAAACUUUAGCUUUGCCAUUAAAUUUUCAUCCUGAAAUUACUUUGCUUUGAAGACACAAUUUCUUCCACUCAUCAAUUAUCUUGAUAUAAAUUCUCUUAAUGAUGGUUCACACAGCCCUACCACAACAAUUCCUUCAACUACAAAUCCUAAUGCACCUACUGUUAAUCCAACCUAUAUUCGAUGGUUUAAAGAGUCAAUUAACUCUAGUACCUCUUUAAUGUUUGCUUUGAUUAAUUUUAAAUCUUUUGUCAAUCUCUUCUUAUGAGUCAAUUUGUCAAAGAGCUACUUUAUUUGGUCCUUAUAUUAUAAAUUUAAUUUGAUAUAAUAAAAAAGUUUAAUUCAGCCCUUAAAUUUAUUGUAACUAUUAAACUGUUUCAAGAUAAUUAAAUUAAUAUUUUUAAAUUGCUCUAUUUUCUAGCAUAUUCUUUUUAAAAAAACCAUAGAGAGGUCUUUGUUAUUUAUUAUUAUUAGAAAAAAAUCAUAAAUAAGUCAUAAUGUUUACAUUUUCAAUAAGUAAUACACAUGAUCAAAACAAUUUAUGCAACUAAAUUCAAUGAUAAGAAUUAGUUCAAACUUGAUUUAAUAUUAUUAGAUAAUUUAAAUAAUUUAUCCAAAUUAAUGAAUUUAAUACCAAAAUAAUCUUUUCAGCAUAUCGGGGUUCUUUAAACUGAUUUUAGGACGGUAAUGGUAAUGGUAGUAAGUAUUGGAAUUAGCUCUGCAUUAAAAGAAUAAGAAUAAAUUGAUAGUUGAGAUAUUUUAAAAUGUUCAAGAUAAAAAAAUAACAAAAAAUUAAUUAUUCUCAUUAGAAUUUAAAUAGUUUGGAGAUUAUUAUUCUUAGUUAUAAAACAAAAAGUUAAGAAAAAAAUUAAAUACUGCAUAGAAAUUUUAAAGGGAAAAAGUUUAUUUUUUCUUAAUUACCAAUAAACAAAUUUAUUUUUUUGUAUAAAAAAGUCAUGCUAAGAAAAUGGGAACAAUUAAAAAAUACUAAUUUACAUAUUUUCGACAAAUUUAAUUCUUACUAAUAUGUUUAGCGGCUAAAUUGAACUUCUUAAUUAGAUCAAAUUAAACUUAUAAUAAGUAUAAAGACUAAAUUGAACUUUCAUUUUAUCAAUUAAGCUCUUUGAGUGGUAGACUGGUGAGAAAAAUGAUGGAAGGGGUCGAUGGUUAAUAGAACCAAAUAUAAAAGGAGUAUUAGUUCAUUUCUGAAAAAAUAAAAUUGGACAUGUAAAUUUAUUCAAAUCUAAAGAGGUAUUAGUAAUUAACCCUAACUAUUUUAUGAUAAUCAGCAAUGAUAUUCCUAUUCAUAUUCCGAUUACCUAUGGACCCAACCCUAUACGGAUAGAUAGGUACUAAAGGACUAACUCUGUGAAUUUAAUAUUAUAAAAGACGAUACUAAACUUACUACUCAAACAUAAUGACAACCAUACACUAAUAAAUAACAUGAAAAUAUUUACUGAAUCGUGACAUUCAAAAAUUAUCAUAAGGAAUCUAAUAUUUAAAUAUUACUUAGGGGUAUAUAUAGCCGGAGACGACAGAAAUAAUAAUAAAGUUUGUUGGAGUAACUUUGAAGAAGGAGAAAUGAGGAUAAUGCUUUAUAGGGAUCUACUAACAGAACAACAAGAUAUAUCUUAAAAAUGUUAAAAAUAAAGGGGUGAGUACGAAACUUAAUGAGAUGAUAAAGGGCAAUAUAUAAGGAAGUUAAUAUCAUAUCUCGUACUAUAAAUACAGUCUGAAAACUCUAACCAACUAGAUAAAUGUUAGUGAUAAAGUUAAUAAUUCUUACCUAGCAACCCAAAGCACAAAUCUCUGUCAUGCAUGCCGGUAAUGCCCUCGAAAGGGGACUGCCCAGUAUACGCCCAAUGCGUGCAUACUAAAAUAUCAUCUGUUUCUAUUACUGAAUCAAUACUUUACACCAAGUGUGAUCCUACAGGGUACGUAAAUGCGUGUACACCACUCAUCCAACUGUAUAAACUCUAAUUUAUAUAAAUAUAAAAUCCAAAUUACCAUUUAUCUGUUCUUGAGUUCUUAGAAAAUAUUCCAAUUGUUUUAAUCGAAUUAUAUGUUGUUAUAGCUUAUCCACUCACUUGAAUUGUAACGGAGAAAAAACUCCUAGCAGACUAGUGGAUCACUAGGAUCCACAACAGACUCUGAAUCUUUACCUAAAAUAAGAUAAUAUUCCAAAUAAGAACUUGAAUUGAAGUAGAAACGAUAUCAAAUUGAAUAUCAAAUUUAAUUCCAAUAUCAAAUUGAAGUUAGGAGCGAAGUUUAAUGGUGGUUUGGUGAGGAGUCAUUAUUCCAUGUUUUUAAGGAAUGUCCAUGGUCUCGUGCAGUUUGGUAUGCUAUGCUUUGGUAAUGCCAAAAACCACUUUGUUAAUGGAAAGGGGGAUCAUGGAGAUUUCAUCAGAUUUAAUCUUCCUCAAACAGGGCCAACUAGUGUUCAUUGGAAAGCAUCGAUCCAAGGACAUUACAAGAUCAACAUUGAUGCUUUGGUGAAGCAGGAAUUAAAGUUAACCAGAUUGGAUGUAAUCAUCUGAGAUUAUGCUGGAAAUGUUAUUGCUUCAGCUAAAAAAAAUAAUGAAGUUUUGGAUGUUGAGAUGGCAGAGGCUAUGGCAAUUCUGUAUGGUUGAUCCACCGCUUGGGAAUGUGACAUUAGAAGUAUGAUCGCUCAAAGUGACUCUGCUGCUAUUAUUUUGAUGUAAUAAAAUAAUUUUUAUCAUAAUGAUAAAAUACAAAUUUUAAGGUAAUUAAUCAAAGUGGAUGUCUUUAAUUGAAAUAAUCUAACUAACUCUAUGUAACAAAAUUUAAAAUAAUAGAUUAUUUCAGUUAGUAGAUUAUUUUAAAUUUUGUUACAUGGAGUUAGUUAUCCACAUGAUUAACAUCAUUCCACGUAUUAGUAGCUAUAGUAGUCCUCCAUUCAUUGGCAGUAUUUCUUUAUUGCUUUUAAGCCUCAACGAAAUUCUCUUCUUGAUUAACUGGUAUAGCUGGAAAUCAUAAAAUUUCACUAUCUGCUUCAACUGGAAAUUCAUCCGAAUGAAACUUUUGUCGGAGAAAGUUGCGCAAUCCUGCAAUGCCAACACUAGCUCUGCUUGCCCGCUAUAUAUGGAAAUGGAGAAACUGUUUUAAAAAUUUUAAAGCGUGAUUUAAAAAUACCAAAUGAUCUCUCAACUCUAUUUCUCAAAGAAGCAUGAAAUGCAUUUUCAUGAUGACGACGACCUUGACUUUGGAAAUCUUGAAGAUGAUGAUAGCGAACACCUCGAAAAGGAGCUAAAAACUGAAGUCGAUUUGGGAAUCCACAAUACACCAAAAAAUUAUUUACCUAACAUAAAUAUAAUAAAAAAAAUAUGAUAAGAAAACAAAAAAUAUAUAUAAAAAAUGAAAAUAAAUUGAAAUUGCAAUAAGUAGAUUAAAAGUACAUUAUUGUGGCAUUUUAAAUCUAUUACUCCUUGAUAGACAUUAUUUAACACUUUUGAAUCAUAUGCAAAUCCUUUCCACCCACUAAGCACAUAUUUGAAUUCCAAAUAAAAAAUACAAGCUGCUAAAAUAUUUUGCGAAGUUAUUCCAUAACGAUUGCGAUAGCUACUAAUGUCACGUCCAGUAACCAUCGCAGGAAUACAGGUACCAUCAAUAGCUCCAAUACAAUUCCAAAUUAAUAUAAAAGAACUUGAAAUUUUAAAAUGGAGAAAAUUUAAUUAUAACUUUUUUUAUCUUUUAUUUGCAAAUUAAACACCUAUUCUCUAUUAAUCAAGCAUUUUAAUUUAAUUUUUGACACUAAAGCCGCCACUUGAGGGCUAAAGUUGAUAUUUGAUCAAUUUUUUCAAAUUAUUUUCACCUUUAAACUUUUGUUCCUCUUCUUUUCUUUUUCAUUUUGGAUUUUUUGUGAUAUGUUUGUGAAAAAUUAGUUUUUCUUGCUUUACUGUGAGUUGAACUCACGUUGGUUCGACCCAUACUUGUGCGCCGUUGGAUUUGUCCCGUUUCAAAGAAAACAUUAACGCUUUGAUUUUUUAAGUCUUCUAAACCCCGAGCUCGCACAACCUCAUCCAUUUGAGAUUGUUGAUGGUGACGAUGAAGUGCUCGUUCUUGCCGCUUCUUCACUUAAAGCAUAUACUCUUCUUCUACACCUUUGGGGGAAAACCCUCGACUCAAAGACAUGAUUAAACAAAUGGACAAUAUGCAAAAGCUGCUCAAUAAUAGGAAGCCAUCCAAAAUUGAUCUUCUUGACUUGUAGAAAUUCGAUGGUUCCGAUAAUCCUUAAGCUUUCUUGAAUGCUUACUAAUUCGGUACUUGCACUAAUAUGACCUUAGCAGCAGGCGUCUACUUGAUCAGUAUUGUUGCCUGUUGGUACUUGCAAUUGAAUGAAAAACUAAUAGACAAUUGGAAAGAUAUGACCGAGAGAUUUGUAGGCCACCAAUAUGGGUACAGAGAGCACUAAAGUGGAAGUGAGUACUAUCCAAUGAGACCAUAUUUGAUUUUGAGAUUUCGCAUAAAAUGGCGAAGAUGACCACUAAACCAAUAGAGGGACCAAAUGCAUUAAGGAGGCUAGGCAGCCUAGGCCAGGGCCCUUCAUAAACCUUCCUUAUUCGUACUUAAUUUUUGAAACCUAUUACUUGACCUGUCAUCUUGGCUGCCGAUUCCACUUUUUCAAUUAUCAAAUGAAUAUUGUGGUCUUUUUAGGUUCCUCGACCGAAAGACUCAUUUCAAAACGAGCCUAAAAAUUCUCUAACAACGUGAUGAGGAUGCGAAUCACUUGGGGCUAGGCCUGAAAACUUACUAAUGCUCAUAAACUCUAUCAUAGGUAUGAUAAAGCAAUUCAUCAAUUUCUUAUAUAUAUAAAAUUAAAUUAUGUAGUAUUAAAUUCAUCAAUUGGAUGAAUCACUAAUUAAAUUAAUAUAGUGAUACUCAUCAAUCUUUUAUAGGACUAGAGUUGCAUAUGAAAUUAUAAUAAAAUUAGAAUUGAAUUAAGAUUAAAAAUUAUAUUCAAUUAAAUAAUUAGAUUAACUAAAGGUAUUUUAGUUCUUUUAAAAAAAUUUCUUCUCUUUUACUAUAUAAGAAUGUGUGAGCAUAAUUGGCUUUUAGGCUCAGCCCUAGUUGAUUUACGACCUCAUCGUUUUGUCGAGGAACCGUUCUUAGUACUAUGUCCAUUUUGAAAUAAGUCAUAUAAGAGACCUAAAGGACCACAAUGAUCAUGUGAUCAUCAAGAAAGUGGAGUUCGACACCUUAAACAUCGAGACAAAUUGGAGAGUAAGAAUGGCAGCUUUAUACCCCAUGUGGAGAGCCUAAAAUUCUCCCUCCCCAACAUCAAAGAUUAUGGGCUCAGGGUAUGAAUAAGGAAUGCAUGAGGCACAUGCCUAGGCAUCCGCUAGAGUAAAUGAAUGUUUGCUAGCCUAAGCACGAACUUUUUUAUCUUAUAUAAUAUGUGAGGUCAACAAACAAUUCUAACUUGGAAAAAGGUACAUUAGUACCCGAAACCAGUCCUAGAAUGAGGUACUUUGGUACUUUAGAUACUACCUAGGUGUAGGAUUCAUAAUCUUAGCAUUUUAAAGUGAAUACAUAUAUAUAAAGCGCGGGAAGCUUACAUUGGUAAGCUUUGUUCAUUUUAUGUUGGCAUGUGGGGUGAUCGAAAAAUCCUAAGUUGUUUUAUUCUCUUAGACAUGUGUAGUGUAAAUCUAAAAGCAAUAAAAUAAAACAUAUAAAUAGAAAGGGAAAGGACAAAAGAGAAUUCUAGAAAGGGAUUAAGGAGACCAGAGCAAUCAAGGGAAAUUAAUUACAUCCACGGCCAAAACAAUCAAAACAAGAAUUAACUAAACUAAACCUAAAAAAGUCCAAAGAAGAGCGCUAUAGAAGGAGGUAUAUUAGCACUCCAAACUAGUCUUGACGGAAGGUACUUUGAUAACUCAGAUCUUUUGCCUUCCACAUGCAAAUGCAAAUGACUUCCUAUAAUAUCUACAGAAAAUCGGGUAGCAUCUCUCCUAAAAUCGGACUAAUUCCGUGGUAAAACGAGUCGAAAACCUGCAGAAAAUAUUUUUAUAUCCAUCCAAAAACCAUUCAGACCUCAAAACUACACAAUACACCCAAUUAAAUCAUAUGCAAAGCACAACACGAUCAACAUGCCCCACCUGACUUUCGCACAUAAAUUAUAAUAAUAUCUAGACUUAAAUAAAUUAUUACAACACCUUAAUUCUAAAUAAUUAAAUUAUUGAUAUCCAAGUAAUCUUCCACCACACACAAUAAUACAAAAAUCUCAUCAUUUAAAUAAUUUAAUAUGCUUAUAAACACAUUGAUAAUCCAAAAAUAUUCAAUAAUUCAACAACAAUCUCAAUUGAAUUCCAAUAUCACAAUAAGAUUGGUGCUUGAACAAAAAGGGAGGUGAGAGAGAGCAAAAAAUGAAAAGGAGAGAAAGUGGAGGGCUAAAAUGAUUUAAGAAAAAUUGCAUUUUGGUCAAUUAAAAUAUUUUAUAUACAUAUAUAUAUAUAUAUAUAUAUAUAUAGUUUACCAUUAAUUUGUAAUUUAGAUAAGUAGUCUAAUUAAAAAGUUUGGAAAUUUUUAACUAAGACUUCUAAGUCUUAAGAGUGCUAUAAACUUUUGUUCCUCUUGUUUUUCUUUUUCAUCUUGGAUUUUUUAUGAUAUGUUUGUGAAAAUUUGGUUUUUCUUGCUUACUGUGAGUUGAACUCACGUUGGUUCGACCCAUAGUUAUGCACCGUUAAAUUUGUCCAGUUUCAAAGAAAACAUCAACGCUUUGAUUUUUUAAGGCUUCUAAACCCCGAGCUCGCACAAACUCAUCCAUUUGAGUUUGUUGAUGGUGACGAUGAAGUUGCCGCUUCUUCGCUUAAAGCAUACUAGCUCUUCUUCUGCACCUCUCGCAGAAAAUCCUCGACUCAAAGACAUUAUUAAACAAAUGGACAUAUGCAAAAGUUGCUCAAUAAUGGGAAGUCAUCCAAAGUGGAUCUUCUUGACCUGUAGAAAUUCGAUGGUUCUGAUGAUCCUUAGGCUUUCUUGAAUGCUUACUAAUUUGGUACCUGCACUAAUAUGACCAAGCAGCAGAUAAUCCAAUACUUUUUAGCGUCUACUUGAUCGGCAUUGUUGCCUGUUGGUACUAGCAGUUGAAUGAAAAACUAAGAGAUAAUUGGAAAGAUAUGACUGAGAGAUUUGUAGGCCAAUAUGGGUACAGAGCACUACUAAAGUGGAAGUGAGUACUUAGGACUGGGCAGCCACAAGGAAACUAUCCAAUGAGACCAUCUCUAAUUUUGAGAUUUUGCAUAAAGUGGCGAAGAUGACCACUAAACCAAUAAAGGGACCAGAUGCACUAAGGAGGCUAGGUAGCCUAAGCCAGGGCACUUCAUAAACCUUCCUUAUUCGUACCUAAUUUUUGAAACCUAUUACUUGACCCGACAUCUUAGGUGGCGAUUCCACUUCUUCAAUUGUCCAAUGAAUAUUGUGGUCUUCUAGGUUCCUCGACCGAACGACUUAUUUCAAAACGAGCCUAAAAAUUCUCUAACAACGUGACGAGGAUGCGAAUCACUUGGGGUUGGCCCUAAAAACCUACUAAUGCUCAUAAACUCAUAGGUCUAUGAUAAACUAAUUCAUCAAUUUCUUAUAUAUAUGAAAUUAAAUUCAUCAAUUGGAUGAAUCACUAAUUAAAUUAAUGUAGUGAUACUCAUCAAUCUUUUGUAGGACUAGAAUUGCAUAUGAAAUUAUAAUAAAAUUAGGAUUGAAUUAAGAUUAAAAAUUAUAUUCGAAUAAAUAAUUAGAUUAACUAAAGGUAUUUUAGUUCUUUUAAAAAAAAUUUCUUCUCUUUACUAUAUAAGAAUGUGUGAGCACAAUAGGUUUUUAGGCUCGGCCCUAGUUGAUUUACGACCUCAUCGUUGUGUCGAGGAACCGUUCUUAGUACUAGGUCCAUUUUGAAAUAAGUCAUAUGGUUAAGAGACCUAAAGGACCACAAUGAUCAUGUGAAGUGGAGUCAACACCCUAAACGUCGAGACAAAUUGAAGAGUAAGAAUGGUAGCUUUAUACCCCUCGCGGAGAGCCUAAAAUUCUCCCUCCCCAAUGUCAAAAAUUAUGGGGGCUCAGGGUAUGAAUAAGGAAUGCAUGAGGCACAUGCCUAGUCACUUCUACUUAUUUAAGCACGAACUUUUUUAUCUUAUAUAAUAUGUAAGGUCAACAAACAAUUCUAACUUGGAAAAAGGUACAUUGGUACCCGAAACCAGUCCUAGAAUGAGGUACUUUGGUACUUUAGAUACUAUCUAGGUGUGGGAUUCAUAAUCUUAGCAUUUUAAAGUGAAUACGUAUAUAAGGCGCCGGAAGCUUUCAUUGGUAAGCUUUGUUCAUUUUAUGUUUGGCAUUGUGGGGUGAUUGAAAAAUCCUAAGCUAAUUUUAUUAUUCUCUUAGACAUGUGUAGUGUAAAUCUAAAAGCAAUAAAAUAAAACAUUUAUAGAAAGGAGAGGAGAAAAGAGAAUUCUAGAAAGGGAUUAAGGAGACUGGAGCGAUCAAGGGGAAUUAAUUACAACCACCGCCAAAACAAUCAAAUAAAGAAUUAACUAAUAAAUUAACUAAACUAAUCCUAAAAGUCCAAAGCUAUAGAAGGAGGUAUAUUAGCACUCAAAACUAGUCCUGACGGAAGGUACUUUGGUAACUCAGUUUUUUGUCUUUCACAUGCAAGGUGGCCAAAUUUGAAUCCAAUUUUAUUACCUAAAUUUAAGUGGUAAAUUAGCAUUUUAAAGUGAAUGCAGAUAUGAGGUGCCAGAAGCUUACUUUGGUAAGCUUUAUUCAUUUUAUGUUAGGCAUGCUGAAUGAUUGCUCAUAAAUCCUAAAUUGAUUUUACUCCCUUAAAUAUAUGUUGUGAAAAUCUAAAAACAAUAAAAUAAAACAUACAUAGAAGGGGGGAGGAGAAAAGAGAAAUCCAGAAAGGGAUUAAGGAGAUCGGGGCAAUUAAGGGGGAAUUAAUUACAACCAUAGCUUAAAAGCCUCAAAAAGUCAAAUAAGGAAUUAACUAAUUAAUUAACUAAAUUAAUCCUAAAAGUCCAUAAAAGACCGCUUAGGAUAUCAAAACUGGGUAAUUAGAACCUGUCACUAUGAAAAGAAUUAGAUUAGUAAACAAAAUUAGCAAAUAAAAGUGCAAAUAAACAAAGAUACUAUAGAAUAAAGAGAAAUUAAAAGCAAAUUAAGAAUAAUAUUAAAUAUAUAAAACAAUAGUAAAACUACGAAAUAUGAGAUAACAGAAGAUGAUAACAGAAAAUAAACUUGUCUUGGGAGGCAACACGACAUGUUAAUUUAGUUACUUGCACUGACAUGCUAAACCAACACAAAAAUAAAGUGUUUCACUUGGUAACCAUUAAAAAAUCAAGUAAUGUACUUUAAUUGCCAUCUAUUCACUUUUCACACAAUCAUUUUUUUUUAAAAAAGAGCCGCUUUUUUCUUUGUCUAAUUAUCAUAAUAAUUUACUAUUUUGAUUAAGCAAUUGAUAGACUCGUCUCAAAUAAAGAGAUGUAUAUAUAGCACAUUCAUUAGAUGACUGGACAACAAUUAAGCUGUUGAAACUCACCUGCUGAACUUUUUAAGUCUUUCUCCUUUGAAGGGUCAGGAGGCUGUGGUUCUGCUCAGUUUGUGCAUUCCUGCCGAGAGAGUGCUGCAAUAUAUGAGUGAGCUUGGAAUCCCGAUAGGGUAUAUAUUUAAUUUAAGCAUUCAUUGGAUAUUAACAACUGCAAGCAAUGUGUCAGUUCGUGUAAGUUCGCAGGCUAAAAAGAGAGAAGAAAACAUUCAGGAUAGAGAAAUUGCAGGCUCAUCUCCAAGAUGCAUUGCCAAAUGCUGCUGUAACCAAUUCAAGCGCCUAAGCUCAGCUUAUGUGAAUAACAAAUAAAACUGCGUCCUACUGAUGACGGAUACAAAGCAUACAUCCCAUAGUUCAUUAAUCUGCUAUCUUUGUUGCUCUCUAAAAGUUUUCUGCCAGGAAACUUGUUGCUCCGAUUCAAUAAUGCCCUCCUCAUCCUCAAGAUUAUAUCCAGCUGAAGAAAAUGAAAAGGAAUUUCCUAAUAUUACAGAGAACCAAAUGAACCGCAAAUAUUAUACUGUAAAGGAAGUGCUGAUUCCCGUGUAGGUGAUGGAUGACAGGCAGCCUAAUAAUUGGGUACUGAUAUUUGUGGAGGUCUAACAAAGGAACCAGUGUAAACAUGACCCGCAUUUUGAUCCUAUUUGAUUAUAGUACUAUCUGAAGUAUUGGAGUACUGAAAUGCCCAUGAAGAAAGAGAAGCCAAGUAUGAACUUUAUCCUGAAACUGUUCAGGAGGUUACAGAACAUAAAGAGAAACCAAGGACAGCAGAAGCUGUCUAAAUAUGGUCUAGAUGAAAUAGAUAGCUGCUACAAUUGGUAGAGGUAUAGAUCCAAUAAAGGAAGCAAAGCCGAUCUAUUCUUAAAAUUUGAAAUUGGAUCAGCAUAUUCUUAAAAUCCGAAACUCCUUCAGUUCUGUAACCUGAACUUUUACCAAUCACAUCAUUAUCCUUCUAAGAACUCAAAAAAAACACCAGAAGAAUCUCUAGAGGCAAGCACGAUCUCAAUCUGUGGAAACAUAUACCACUUCUAGACUUCUUAAUGACAGAAAAUCAACCCAAGUGACAGUAAUACCAUAGCAAGUAACAAAGGAAACAACAAGAUCUAAGAUUGAAAUUACACUAGCCAUACCUCUUCAGAAUGCUCAGGGGUGAAAAGAGAAGGAACCUAUUUACCAGAGAAAGAAGUCUACAAUUACCAGAAGGGAUGACGAGUGACACCUUGAAAAGCUGUCCCUGUUAUGUUCUCUUACUAUAUGGUUCAUCGAGGAGAAAACGUGUAAAUGACAAUAAUCAGCAUUGCAAUUAACCAAGAAAUAAAAUCAGGAUAAACCUCGUAGAACACAACUCACAGAAUUAAUCACUCGAACUGCAGUGAAUGACAAUUGAAUAAGAUCAUCUUUAUUGGAAAUGCUAUUUCCCAGAACAACUUCCUGCAAGCCCUCCAAUUUACAAACUGCAUCAAAUGAUCUACAACAAAUCAAAACAAAAAUCACUUGUAGAACAACUUAUCCCACAACCCACAACUUCAUCAAGAAGUUCAACAUGAGCAAAUUUUGCUUACUUUUUACAGUUACACUCUCCAAAGCAUCAUUUUCUUUUUUUACAGUUACACUAUCCAAAGCAACUUCAUAAAAAACCCAUCAAUGUUCAUAUAUUCUCACCUGGUUCCAUAUCCAAAUCAAUCUCACCUCCUCUAACUCUCCUUCUUCCUUCUCAACAACAUCAACAAUCUUUUUUGAAUAGGUGCAUUUCCUUGCAGCUGGCAAUGGACUCCGCUGCAUCUCGAUCACUAGACUAUGACUUCCUUUUGCAAUACUUCUAGAGCUCCAAGUUGCUCUGAGAUGUUCGAGUUUACGGAUUUCAUGCAUUAGAGUAAAAGGUGCAGUUGAUGAUGUAUUGCCUUAACAUAGUUUUCCUUGCUCUGUCGCAGCGGUUUAUCUCCUUGUUCUCAAGUUUUCAUAAUAAUGCAUCAGCGUAGGAGAGAGAGACAGUUCUUUACCGA